rnacentral:lncRNA from 1 species
CCAGGUGUGUACAUAAUUGCUUCAGGUUCUACUCCCAGCAGUGGAGGACAUGGGAAGCCUGCUUUAUCCAAUUAGCAUGACAUCGACAUUGUUGGAGGAAGAUUGAGAAAUCUGUGCAAGUGGCAAAAGUUAAAAUUCACAAGGCCUUGGCAAAAAGAGGGCAAGAGCUCACCUAGCCUCCGUGCCACCAUUAAUACAUCAAAUUUUCUGCCAAUUUGCUUAGUUCCUUGUGCAAUAACUAUAUACAUAAUGCUAAAUUAUCACCCCUAGUACUUAGUGCAAAAUUACCUCCUCUAGUGCUUCAGAAGCCGGCCGAGCCUAAUUUUAGUGCAAAAGACCAUUCAUAGGGAGCAUAUUCUUGUAGAUGACAUUGCAGCACAAUGGUACCUUGUUGGAACACCUGAUGACAUAUACGGUAAUAGUAUUACCAUGUACGUAUUUUCUCCAAUCUCGAGCUUUCUUUUUAUACAUAGGUACGUUUUAUUUCAAUACACUAUUGCCACUGUGGAUAUACACGGAUUGAGAUUUGGCUUGAUUUUAUAAGAAAUUUACCAGUAUGUAUGUAUAUGUGUUCAUUUACUUGCUCUCUAUUUUUU